rnacentral:sRNA from 1 species
GUUAACUAUAGGAUUUGCCACUAACUAUGAUUCUGAAUAGCGGGUAAUGUUUUACUCUUACAAUAAAAUCAUGUCAUGUGUCUCACUACUUCAAAUAGUUUGCCACCAUUUAGGGCAUUUCAAUGAAUUAGAUACUCAUAACGC